rnacentral:rRNA from 1 species
UGCCAGCAGCCGCGGUAAUACGGAGGGUGCGAGCGUUGAUCGGAUUUACUGGGCGUAAAGUGCGCGUAGGCGGAGAUGUAAGUCCGACGUGAAAUCCCGGGGCUCAACCUCGGAACUGCAUCUGAAACUACAACCCUUGAGGAUAGUCGGAGAAAACGGAAUUCCAUGUGUAGCGGUGAAAUGCGUAGAUAUAUGGAAGAACACCCGUGGCGAAGGCGGUUUUCUAGAUUAUUCCUGACGCUCAGGCGCGAAAGCUAGGGGAGCGAACAGGAUUAGAUA